rnacentral:rRNA from 1 species
UACGGAGGAUGCAAGCGUUAUCCGGAAUGAUUGGGCGUAAAGCGUCCGCAGGUGGCGAUGUAAGUCUGCUGUUAAAGAGUCUAGCUCAACUAGAUAAGAGCAGUGGAAACUACAUAGCUAGAGUACGUUCGGGGCAGAGGGAAUUCCUGGUGUAGCGGUGAAAUGCGUAGAGAUCAGGAAGAACACCGGUGGCGAAGGCGGUCAACUGGCCCUCGACUGACGCUGAGGCACGAAAGCGUGGGGAUCAAACAGG